rnacentral:rRNA from 1 species
UACGAAGGGUGCAAGCGUUAAUCGGAAUUACUGGGCGUAAAGCGUGCGCAGGCGGCUUUGCAAGACAGAUGUGAAAUCCCCGGGCUCAACCUGGGAACUGCAUUUGUGACUGCAUGGCUGGAGUGCGGCAGAGGGGGAUGGAAUUCCGCGUGUAGCAGUGAAAUGCGUAGAUAUGCGGAGGAACACCGAUGGCGAAGGCAAUCCCCUGGGCCUGCACUGACGCUCAUGCACGAAAGCGUGGGGAGCAAACAGG